GGGCCCGCACAAGCAGUGGAUUAUGUGGUUUAAUUCGAAGCAACGCGAAGAACCUUACCAGGGCUUGACAUGGAGACGACCGCACUAGAGAUAGUGCUUUCCCUUCGGGGACGUCUCACACAGGUGGUGCAUGGUUGUCGUCAGCUCGUGUCGUGAGAUGUUGGGUUAAGUCCCGCAACGAGCGCAACCCUUAUUGUUAGUUGCUACGAAAGAGCACUCUAGCGAGACUGCCGUUGACAAAACGGAGGAAGGUGGGGACGACGUCAAAUCAUCAUGCCCCUUAUGUCCUGGGCUACACACGUAAUACAAUGGCGUUUAACAAAGGGAAGCGAAACCGCGAGGUGGAGCAAAUCCCAAAAAGGCGUCUCAGUUCGGAUCGCAGGCUGCAACUCGCCUGCGUGAAGUCGGAAUUGCUAGUAAUCGCGGAUCAGCACGCCGCGGUGAAUACGUUCCCGGGCCUU
rnacentral:rRNA from 1 species